UUAGUUGGCAAUCAAAUCGUAUACGGAACACAACAAAUUUACCCAAAUUCCAAAAUUGUGAUUAUGUUUCGAGAUAUUUUUUGGCCAAUUGUUGUUUUCCUUAUAUGUAUUUUAAGAGAAUUGAGCAAAUAAUUUACUCAGCAUUUGUUCAUUAUUCAAUUGAGCCUUAUCUUUGCUUUAAUUUCUAUUUAAAUAUGUUGUUUCGCCAAACACAUUCUGUACAAAAUAACCAAAUUUUUGCAGAUCCCGCUGUCGCCCUUGCAUUCGCACACACGGGAACGAGAGACGGUUUCUAAGGUCACGCUAAACAGCACACUUAACAAUCUUACAAUUUGAUUUUCAAAAAAUACGACAAAGCAUAUAUAGAGCAUUAAUUUACUAGAAAUUUAUGAUGUAUCUUGUGGACGGGUACAAUGAUAACCGGACAUGGCACAAAGGACACAAGCUUUAUUCUAUAUCAAAAACAACUAUAUAGAUAGCCAUAUAUACAUAUAUUACAACGCGAUUGCCACUCCAUAUAGGUUACACAUGCAGCACACAAUUUAAACAGAUCGAGAUCGAUCGUGGAAUGUUUAACAGGCAACAUUGUUAAACCUGCUUCUGAAUUUCUUGGAUUGGUAAACUCCAGGACGGUACCUCGCUCAGUGAUGGGCGUUGCAGUUAGCGUCGUGUACGCUAAAUAAAUGCGAUCCAUUAAAUUUUGAAGACGAAGCUCAACACAUACUUGAUUAUCAGUUUAACCGACAAAUGUCGUUCAUUCGAAUUGCAGAAGGUCCCUACGAAGUUGUAAGUCGGAAAAUUGGAAACAUUCUUUGUGAAAUCGUAAUUGUAAAUCUCAACUAGUAUUACAGGACGAUACCACGCCCUAGGCUCGAGGGAGGGACGCGUAGAUUACGUAUAUUUUAAAUUUAAUUUAAUUUAAUUUAUGCCAAUAAAUUGCCUAAUUAUUUGAAGAAUACUAAA